CCUACGGGUGGCAGCAGUGGGGAAUAUUGCACAAUGGGGGAAACCCUGAUGCAGCGACGCCGCGUGAGUGAAGAAGUACUUCGGUAUGUAAAGCUCUAUUAGCAGGGAAGAAAAUGACGGUACGUGAUGAAGUAGCCACGGAUAACUACGUGCCAGCAGCUGCGGUAAUACGUAGGGGGCAGGCGUUAUCCGGAUUUACUGGGCGUAAGGGGAGCGUAGACGGGAGCACAAGCGUGGAGUGAAAUGCCGGGGCUUAACCCCGGGACUGCUUGGGAAACUGUGCAGCUAGAGUGCGGGGGAGGUAAGUGGAAUUCCUGGUGUAGCGGUGAAAUGCGUAGAUAUUAGGAGGAACACCAGUGGCGAAGGCGGCUUACUGGAGUGUAACUGACGUUGAGGCUCGAAAGCGUGGGGAGCAAACAGGAUUAGAUACCCCAGUAGUC
rnacentral:rRNA from 1 species